rnacentral:rRNA from 1 species
AUUGAACGCUGGCGGCAUGCUUUACACAUGCAAGUCGGACGGCAGCACAGAGAAGCUUGCUUCUUGGGUGGCGAGUGGCGAACGGGUGAGUAAUAUAUCGGAACGUACCGAGUAAUGGGGGAUAACUAAUCGAAAGAUUAGCUAAUACCGCAUAUUCUCUGAGGAGGAAAGCAGGGGACCUUCGGGCCUUGCGUUAUUCGAGCGGCCGAUAUCUGAUUAGCUAGUUGGUGGGGUAAAGGCCUACCAAGGCGACGAUCAGUAGCGGGUCUGAGAGGAUGAUCCGCCACACUGGGACUGAGACACGGCCCAGACUCCUACGGGAGGCAGCAGUGGGGAAUUUUGGACAAUGGGCGCAAGCCUGAUCCAGCCAUGCCGCGUGUCUGAAGAAGGCCUUCGGGUUGUAAAGGACUUUUGUCAGGGAAGAAAAGGCUGUUGCUAAUACCGACAGCUGAUGACGGUACCUGAAGAAUAAGCACCGGCUAACUACGUGCCAGCAGCCGCGGUAAUACGUAGGGUGCGAGCGUUAAUCGGAAUUACUGGGCGUAAAGCGAGCGCAGACGGUUACUUAAGCAGGAUGUGAAAUCCCCGGGCUCAACCUGGGAACUGCGUUCUGAACUGGGUGACUAGAGUGUGUCAGGGGGAGGUAGAAUUCCACGUGUAGCAUUGAAAUGCGUAGAGAUGUGGGAGGAAUACCGAUGGCUGAAUGCAGCCUCCUGGUAUAACACUGACGUUCUGCUCGAAAGCGGGGGGAGCAAACAG